rnacentral:misc_RNA from 1 species
UCCGGUUUGUCACCGGCAGUCCCAUUAGAGUGCCCAACUGAAUGUGGCAACUAAUGGCAAGGGUUGCGCUCGUUGAUGGACUUAACCAAACAUCUCACGACACGAGCUGACGACGGCCAUGCAACACCUGUCACUUGGUUCCGAAGCACUUUCUCCUUUCGGAGAAAUUCCAAGGAUGUCAAGCCUGGGUAAGGUUCUUCGCUUACCAUCGAAUUAAACAACACGCUCCACCGCUUGUGCGGGUCCCCGUCAAUUCCUUUACGUUUUAAGCUUGCGCUCGUACUCCACAGGCGGGAUGCUUAACGCGUUAGCUUCGCUACGAGAAGGGUCGAUACUUCUCACAGCUAGCAUCCAUAGUUUACGGCGUGGACUAC